rnacentral:misc_RNA from 1 species
UCGCGGCUUAUCACCGGCAGUCCCCUUAGAGUGCCCAACUGAAUGAUGGCAACUAAGGGCGAGGGUUGCGCUCGUUGCGGGACUUAACCCAACAUCUCACGACACGAGCUGACGACAGCCAUGCAGCACCUGCGUCCACGCCCCUUGCGGGGAGGAAUCCAUCUCUGGAAGCCGUCAGGCACAUGUCAAGCCCAGGUAAGGUUCUUCGCGUUGCGUCGAAUUAAACCACAUGCUCCGCUGCUUGUGCGGGCCCCCGUCAAUUCCUUUGAGUUUCAUUCUUGCGAACGUACUCCCCAGGUGGUAUGCUUACUGCGUUAACUGCGUCACCGAUCCGCAAGCGGACCAACAACUAGCAUACAUCGUUUACAGCGUGGACUAC